ACGUUUUCUUUUUCCCUCAUCAAUCACCAACUUAAACAGCAAAUUGUGAUGAGAGAUAGUGGGUAAACCCGUGCUGUGAACCCCCACACGCCUAGGAAUCCAUUGACCUGACAUUAUGCCCACAGAAUCCAUUUACUUUAUCGGGGAAUAUAAUAGCAAGGCUUCAGAAAGCACAGAGAUGAUCAAGUGAAUCUGAGGCCGUUGAUCAGCUAGUGGUCUUGAAUGGGGUUCCCAUUCUAUACGGCUAUGGUUUUGUCAGCAAGG
rnacentral:lncRNA from 1 species